ensembl:lncRNA
CUGUGGGCGGUCCGUGGGCGAGACUAGAGCACGGAUAACCUUCAAUCACGCUAGCAUGUGACAAAGUUAAAGCACACUUCGGGUUUGAAGAGAAUUACGGUCCCAUAAUGCCUGAGGGCUGAAAUGAAGGUUGUGCAUGCCAGUUAGUGUUCCUGUGUGGUUAAGGGUAACAGCUAAGUACGUGCCAAGGCAUGGCGGUAUACGACAGCAGUGGCCCGCGCGUGGGGGUGUGGCGUGGCACUCGGAGCGACACGGCGUCAGAUGGAGGAGCCGCUUUCCAUUAGACGAGAGCUCCCCAGGGAAUCGCCACAGCUGACGAGCUGUAAGAAGUGUCUGCUAAUUACGAAAGUCCAAAUUCGAACCGCUUUGAAGAUGGCGAGCUCGGAGAGUCUCAACAGGAGUCGUGCGCUAACCUUUUGUCUUGGUCGAAACGGGGGCCUUCUCUCGCUCUACACCCACUGACUCGUAAAUCUACAGUCAGGAAGAGUGGUUUUGUGUUCCAAUGUGUCCCAUGAGGCCUCCAGCAAAUCACAUAGCUCAGUAAAAUCAGCACGAACCAGAGAAACUUCUGGAAAUCUCAUCAGAGAGGCGCACGGCCGUCAAUCAAAUUCACAAAUCGGAGGGGUUUGUGACCUUAGAUUUGCGGGGAGUCGCUCCGGGCUGAUCGAAUUAGCAAUUGGUCUAUCAAAUGCAGGGAUAUUUUGGCAUGUUUGAAAAUCUUAAUACUUUAUUGCUCUUGAGAGAAACCCCCUGAACCUCAUAGACGUUUCAUGCCUGAUAGACGUAAUACUCCAAAAGCUCUGUAAUUUAUUCCAGUGAAAACAUACUGAAACCGCUGUGUGUUGUUUAAAACCAAAAUGUGUGCAAAGACAGAGCGUAACUCCUAUAUAUGUCCAAUUUGCGUUGACUGAAUGAUGUGCGGGUUGUGUUUUCCCUUCCACACGCACACACUUUCUCUCAUGGGUUUUUCUUUUUUUUCUCCCAUGGGUGCCGGAAUGAAAUCCCAGCAGCAUGGUUCUCAUAAUUGUUCACAAUCUACCCUGAAAUCAUUUUAAUCUGGGGCCACUUCGACACUUAAACAACUAAACAAAACACACUCACACACUUAUUGUACAUCAUUUAGAUGAGUAGAGAUAGAUUGUUUCAUCAGUGUGAUUAUUGUUGUAAAUAUAUCCAGCUAACAGUGAACAGGAUCGCCAUCCUCUGUGAGGAUUAUAAGGAAAUAUGAAGAAAAACUAGAUUAAAGAGUGGGACAUGCAUCUCAAAAAUAAAUAAAUAAACAAGUGUGGCUCAUAGAAUCAGAAACAAACAAAUAAACAAAUAGAAGUUAUUUUUUGCAGGGAUG